rnacentral:rRNA from 1 species
AGCGAACGCUGGCGGCAGGCCUAACACAUGCAAGUCGAACGAACCUUUCGGGGUUAGUGGCGGACGGGUGAGUAACACGUGGGAACGUGCCUUUAGGUUCGGAAUAACUCAGGGAAACUUGUGCUAAUACCGAAUGUGCCCUUCGGGGGAAAGAUUAAUCGCCUUUAGAGCGGCCCGCGUCUGAUUAGCUAGUUGGUUGAGGUAAUGGCUCACUAAGGCGACGAUCAGUAGCUGGUCUGAGAGGAUGAUCAGCCACAUUGGGACUGAGACACGGCCCAAACUCCUACGGGAGGCAGCAGUGGGGAAUCUUGCGCAAUGGGCGAAAGCCUGACGCAGCCAUGCCGCGUGAAUGAUGAAGGUCUUAGGAUUGUAAAAUUCUUUCACCGGGGACGAUAAUGACGGUACCCGGAGAAGAAGCCCCGGCUAACUUCGUG